CCUACGGGAGGCUGCAGUGAGGAAUAUUGGUCAAUGGACGAGAGUCUGAACCAGCCAAGUAGCGUGAAGGAUGACUGCCCUAUGGGUUGUAAACUUCUUUUAUAUGGGAAUAAAACGUUCCACGUGUGGGAUUUUGUAUGUACCAUAUGAAUAAGGAUCGGCUAACUCCGUGCCAGCAGCCGCGGUAAUACGGAGGAUCCGAGCGUUAUCCGGAUUUAUUGGGUUUAAAGGGAGCGUAGGUGGAUUGUUAAGUCAGUUGUGAAAGUUUGCGGGUAAACCGUAAAAUUGCAGUUGAAACUGGUAGUCUUGAGUACGGGAGAGGUGGGCGGAAUUCGUGGGGUAGCGGUGAAAUGCUUAGAUAGCACGAAGAACUCCGAUUGAGAAGGAAGUUUACUGGACUGCAACUGACACUGAGGCUCGAAAGUGUAGGUAUAAAACAGGAUUAGAUACCCUAGUAGUC
rnacentral:rRNA from 1 species